ensembl:lncRNA
CCCAGGGAAAACGUUUCAAUACUCCUUUCAAAAAACGAGAACAAUCUGAAAUAAUUACGAAACGAGAAACAUAACGAAAAUUUGGACAACCCUACUGCUCACAUAUCUGCUCAGAAAGAGUGUGAGAAGCACGGAUUUCUUCAAGUACUGUCAACAGAGAUCUUCUCCAGUAUUCUUGGUAAGCAUAGUUCACUGAAACCAACUUAAUUACCAACUUAAGUGUUGAUAUAUAAAAUCCCCUCUUUCAUUGCCACUUUCUCAAAUAUUUGGACAACUGUACACAGGUGGAGUUCCUCUAAUGUCUCUGACCAAAAUACAACCUCAGAAUUCCAUUGCUUGCUAAAGUUGAAUCAUAGUGCUAAAACUGUGUAAUGUUAAGAAAAAUGUGGGAAGAUGGCAAACAGACAGAUUUAUUUAUUUAUUAUUAUUAUUAUUUACAGCAUUAUAUUUCACUCUUCUCACCCCAAAGGGGACUCAGGGCGGAUCACAACACACACAUACACGGCAAACAUUCAAUGCCAUUGGACAUACAUGACAGACAGAUAGAGGUAUAUCAGAAUUUUUUCCAACUUUGACACCUGGGGGUUAUGUUUGAUUCUGGCCACAGGGAGUGCCGUCGCUCCAUCCGCGAUGACAACGAGCCCUUUGAUUGCAGAAUUUUUCCUCCUUGUUCUUUUAUUACCAGCAAUUUUUAUGGUGCCGUAAAAUAUCUCCCUGCUAAGUGGUGUCUAAUCUCUCUACUCAUAGCUCAACUGUUUUCGAACUGCCUAGGUGGACAGUGAGCUGGGCUGAUGGUUGGUUGCUCAUUCCUACUCAGGUUUUGAACUGCCAACCUUCCGGUUGGCAAUGAUCUAUUGCUACUGGUGAUUAACCAGCUCUGCUAAAGCCCGGCCCACAUUUCUGCAUCCCAGAGCCAAUGUUCUCAGUAACAAAAUUGAAACAAAAUUAACUGCUGCUACAUCAACUCAAAAUGGCAUGAGGACCAGGAAUUUCUUUGAGUACUCUGUGAGGCACCAGCACCUUUUGGCAAAGAAGGCUAGUAACUUCCAUAAUUCCACAGUAUUGAUUCAUGGCAGAUAAAGUAAUGUCAAACUGCAUUAAACUCUACAGUGUAGUUUCACCUUUAGAGGGUCACAGGGAUCUUGCUUAUUUGAGUGAACUCUGGUGCAAACUGGAAAAAGGCAUUUUCCUGGUUGGACGAAUUCCAUCCACAAUAGACAGACCCCUGCAUUUAGCAUAGGAUGUAUUUGUCCUUGAGAGGCAAACACUGAAAACUGAGCAUAUCUAAAUAGGUAUGGUACAUAUUAAACAUAUAUUAAUCCAGCUACAAAAUUGCAAUAUUAUUACAUUUUGGACAGGCUGAAUUUUUCUUUCAAAAACAGAAAAAAAUUCAAUCAAUUUGUACAUUCUCAAAUGUUGGUACAUAGCACAUUAAAUUUAGUUAAGUAGGUGAUGCUAUGGAAAUCAGGUUUCACAUACUUCUGGUUGACACUGUAUACCAUUCCAUAGCAAAAUCUUGAGAAGGGAGAGGUUGUUCAGCCAGGCUAAGGACAUCAGCAAGUUGAUACGGGUGGUACUCUUCAAGGAACAUCCUGAAGACAGCAAGCAUCUAUUUAUAGCGUAACAUAUCAAUGCCAGGGAGGGGAUGGGGAGAGUAUCCAUUUCAAGAAACUAAAUGCUGCCAGUCCACUUAUAUUUGGACACUGUGAUAAAAAGGAGAAUGUUUCGGUGUUUUAAAGCACUCAUUUAGUAAAGCCAAACAGUGCUUAAAAACUCCAUGGGCAUGCACACCAAAUGCAUAGGAAUAUGGCUACUCCUACAAUUACCCAUAGAAAAAUAAGAAAUUUGGAUAUG